GAUAAAAGGAUUACAAGGUGGAGGAACGGAGGCUGAGAAAGAAUUGGGACCUAGCUCGGCCUGGCGAGGAGCAGCCUGGGGAGGAAGGGAGAGGUCAGAUGGGUCUGUAGAAAAGGAAGAUUAGAAAGACUCAGCGACGCUUGGGGUUGGUACUGAGGGGACAGGCGGGAGGGAAAGAAGGAAGAUUUGGGACAAGUUGCACUGGGCACAGGGACUAGGAAGGGACUGAGUGUGUAAAAGAAUGCCUGGAGUCAGGCACCUCAGACCAUUUGCCUAUUUUAUGACAAGAAUUAUUUAGAUUUUGCAGGUUGGAAAAAUUCAAAGUGCCAUUUUCUGGCUAUUUGGAACUACUGUCGAGUUUGUAUUGGGGUCAAGCGGCAUUGCAGAAGAAAAUAAGGCAUUUAGGUUUUAGGUCAGGUGUGAGUUGAAGAGGUUUUUAAUUUUUGAGAACACAGGCUAAGGGAGAAGAAGGAGGAAUGGAAGGUGGAAACUUACCCAUAGUGAAGGAGGCAAGCCCAGAGAAAAGAGUAGAGACACAGAGAAGGGGUUGUGGGGGGGUGCGGUUCUUGCCCUCCAGAAAAGCAGAGAAGGGGUUGGGGCAUGGAAAUAAGGGAUUGGGGCACAGACAUAAGAGGUCAGGGUGCAGAAAUAAGGGAUUGGGGCACAGAGAUAAGAGGUUGGGGUGUGGAAAUAAGGGAUUGGGGCACAGAGAUAAGAGGUUGGGAUGUGGUAAUAAGCGAUUAGGGGGUUCUUGCCCCCUAGGAAAGCGGGACUUGCUACUAAGGGUGAAGGAGAAGGGGCUGAGGGGUACUUGCCCCUGCCCCAGAAAAGCAGGACUUGCCACUAAGGGUGAAGGAGAAGGGGUUGAGGGGUACUUGCCCCUGCCCCAGAAAAGCAGGACUUGCCACUAAGGGUGAAGGAGAAGGGGUUGAGGGGUACUUGCCCCUCCCCCAGAAAAGCAGGACUUGCCACUAAGGGUGAAGGAGAAGGGGUUGAGGGGUACUUGCCCCUGCCCCAGAAAAGCAGGACUUGCCACUAAGGGUGAAGGAGAAGGGGUUGAGGGGUACUUGCCCCUCCCCCAGAAAAGCAGGACUUGCCACUAAGGGUGAAGGAGAAGGGGUUGAGGGGUACUUGCCCCUCCCCCAGAAAAGCAGGACUUGCCACUAAGGGUGAAGGAGAAGCGGUUGAGGGGUACUUGCCCCUGCCCCAGAAAAGCAGGACUUGCCACUAAGGGUGAAGGAGAAGGGGUUGAGGGGUACUUGCCCCUCUCCCAGAAAAGCAGAGAAGGGGUAGAGACAAGGAGAGAAGGGGUUGGGGUACUUGCCCUUCCCCAGAAAAGCAGGACUUGCCGCUAAGGGUGAAGGACCAAGGCAGGCGUCCCUGCGUGGUCUGACACCCUUGAAACAUGAGUGUAUAAUCAGAGGCGUCCCUGCAAUGAUUAAACACCAAGGGAAGGCUGCCUUCCCAGUCCAUGACCGGCGCCGGAGUUUUGGGUCCACGGAUAAAACGUGUCUCCUUUGUCUCUACCAGAAAAUGAAAGGAAUUGAAAUUAAGAGAAGGGAGAAAUUGAAGUGUGGCACCAAGAUUGAAAGGAGAAAGAGGUUGAGGGAUAGUGAGGGAGGUUGGAGAAGAGAGUAAAAAGAGGCCGCUUGCCGGAUUUGAAAUUGGUGAGAUGUUUCUUGGGCUGGUCACUCUGAGGACCUGAGGUCGUAGGUGGAUCUUUCUCAUGGAGCAAAGAACAGGAGGACAGGGGAUUGAUCUCCCAAGGGAGGUCCCCCGAUCCGAGUCACGGCACCAAAUCUCAUGCGCGUCCGUAUGAAGAGACCACCAAACAGGCUUUGUGGAGAAGAUGUCGAAGACACAGGAGAAGACAAGCCAGGGAGAGGGGCUUAGAGCAGAUUCUCCCUUGCAGCCUCAGAAGGAAUCAGUCCUGGUCACACCUUGAUCUCAGACUUCUGGCCUCCAGAAUGGGGACUUAAAACCAACAUCCCACACUCAUAAUGAAAACCUGGCAGGAGGCAGAACAGGAUUGGAGCUGCUUCAAAGCCUUAGGUCCAGAGAACUCAUCACCUAUGCAGAUCCUCAAUAAGACUCAAAGCUGAUUCCGCCUCAGAAACCAUGGAGACCCAAAGCCAAAUUCAAAGUGCUGAAAGUUAACUCAUCCAAUCAGUCAACUCUUGUACAGACCUCCUUUUUUUUUGUUCUUGGAGUUUGUUUUAUUCUAAUAAAGGUGUUUUAUAUUGUUGUUGUAUUAUUCUUAAAUACCAUAUUUUAGUUGCUAUUAUAAAUGGUACUUCUAUUGCCGUUUUGUCUAACAUUUUCUGGUGGUCAAAUUUCUAGCUAGUGUGGAAGAACACUGAUGGUUUUUACUUAUUGAUUUUCUCUCUGGCAAUCUCACUAAACCUUAUGAUAAGUAAUAAACCUUAUGAUAGUAGAAAAGGUUGAUAUGAUAUGAUAGUAGUAAUCCUCUGGAUUACCCAUCCCCUCUUGAUAAUCUCUGUUGAAAUAAUCACAUUAUGUGCAACUAAUGACAAUGUCACUGCUCUUAUAGUCUCUAUGUGCAUUUCUUUUUCUUGUCUUACUGCUUUGACUCAUUCAGUUGACUGCCAUUCACAGAACAGAUGUGGAACGGUUGUUUUCGUUAUCAUGUGCCUAAAAAGAAUGUGAUUAAAAUUUGCCAGUUCAAUAUAAUAUUGGAUGUAGGGUUUUAAUAAAUAACUUUCAACAAACUGCAAGAGUCAUCUUCCCUUUCUAGUAUUCUAAUGGCACUGGUUUUUUAAAAAUAAUAAAUUGGUAUUGAAGUUGUCUUAUGCUUUUUUCUGUAUCCAUUUCCAUUAAGAUAAUUAUUUGGAUUUUUUCUACUUUUCAUUAUAUGAUAUAUUGAAUAAUUAUAUUUUCUGAGGCUGAACUCUCCUUGAAUCUCUGUUACAAAUGCUGCUUGUCAUGAGAUACUAUUUUUCAUGCUGUCGUUAAAUUAGUAAAUUAAUUUUUAUUUAGGAUCUUAAAUCUACAUAUGUAAGUAAAACUGAUUUUUUUGUUCUUAUAAUAUCUUUGUCUAAUUUUAGAAUCAAUCUUAUAAAGUGUGAAGCCUCACGAAGUGUUUUGAGAUGACUUCACUUUUUAUAUUAUAUGGGACAAGUUCCAUCAGAUACGGAUUACCUGUUUCCUGGAAGUUUAAAAUUACAUAGCUACCUAUAGAAAAUUAUAUCGUUAAUAUUUCAUUUUCUUUCAUGGUUACUAGUCUGUACAUAUAUACACAUAUUUAUAUGUGUAUAUAUACAUAUAUACAAAUAAAUUUGUAUUGAGCAUACAUAUAUAUAUACACACAUAUAUACCGAAUUUGGCUUCUCAGAAAUCCAUCUAUUAUCAAUGAGAUUUCCAUUUUAUUGGCAGACAGUUUUUACAGUGUUACUAUACGUUAAGUUUAGUAAUUUGCUUAAUUUACUAUCAUUUUCCAAUUUUCAUAGUCCAUUUUAUUUAUUACCAUCUUCUCUCUAACUUUGGGAUCAUUUUUAUCAGAAAUCUAGCUGACAUUUCAGUAUUUCCAUUUCAUGGGCUGAAGGAUUUGUUAAUUAUCUGGUGUGUGUUUUUGUGUGCUUUUUUUUUAAAGCAAAGAUUUUUUGACUUGUACGAAAGUAAGAUAUAGACAAACUAGAUGCUAAAAGAAAAUAUGCAAAUAAAUACUCACUAUGAAAAGUGAAAAAUAAUAGGAAACAUUCUAAUAUAUAAUGACAAUAUUUCCUUCCUUUCAUUUCUUGCCUUUGGAACUUUUUUAAAUUUUUAUUUUUUUUUUUAGACGGAGUCUCGCUCUGUCACCCAGGCUGGAGUGCAAUGGCCCGAUAUUGGCUCACUGAAACCUCCGCUUACCAGGUUCAAGUGAUUAUUUUGCCUCAGCCUCCCAAGUAGCUUGUAAUACAGGCAUGUGCCACCACACCUGGCUAAUUUUUUAAUUUUUAGUAGAGAUGGGAUAUCGCCAUGUUGGCCAGGCUGGUCUCAAAUUCUGGGCCUCAGGUGAUCUUCCCGCCUUGGCCUCCCAAGGUGCUGGGAUUAUAAGCAUGAGCCCCCAUGCCUGACCCCUUUGGAACUUUAUUAAAUUAAUGUUAGUACUUCUAUCUUCCAUAUCUUUUAACUUUUUUCUCAAUCAUCAUAUUACUUUAUUGCUUUUGAAUGUAUGCUGGAAGACAUUAUUUAAAUUCAACUUACAAAUUGAUUCUUCAGCUAUAUCUAUUAUCUAUUCAUCUGUAAAAAUCCAUUCAUUAAGCUCUUUAUUUCAUCAGUUUCAUUUGUCAUGCCCAAAGACUUCAUGUAUGCUUGUUCUUGCUUUCAAUAUCUUUUUUAUUCUGAGAAUAUGUGUAUAUGUGUAUAUAUAUAUACACACACACACACACAUUUAGAGCUCAGAAAAACGACACUCCAAAAAGAAGGCCGCUGAGCAGUGAAAGUUUUUCUCUUUCUCCUGACCUUCUGUCUCUCAGUCUUUAGCCAGCCAUAGAAAUGAAAAUCUCUCUUUCCCAAGGUGGGUCAUAGAAACCAAAGUCCCACUGUCCCUAAGCCAAUCAUAAAACCUGGAAAUAUUACAUAAGUGUUGUCUCUGCUUUUUUGUGUAAAAACUGGCCAUAGAGAAAUUAUCUGACCUACCUUGUUUGACUGUAGAUCAUAAGACCCCUAAUAUGGUUUGACUCUGUGUCCCCACCCAAAUCUCUCCUUGCAUUGUAAUAAUCCCCUCAUGUCAAGGGCAGGACCAGAUGGAGAUAAUUGAAUCAUGGGGUCAGUUUCCUCCAUGCUAUUCUCAUGAUAGUGAGUGAUUUCCCACGAGAUAUGAUGGUUUUAUAAGGGGCUUCCCCUUUCUCUCAGGACUCAUUCUCUCUCCUGCCACCCUGUGAAGAGGUGCCUUCUGCCAUGAUUGUAAGUUUCCUGAGGCCUCCCCAGCCAUGUGGAACUCUGAGUCAAUUAAACCUCUUUAUAAGUUACCCAGUCUCAGCUAUUUCUUCAUAGCCGUGUGAGAAUGGGCUAAUACCACCCCAUUCCAGAGAGGGUCCUGCCCAAUACUCAGAAGGAAAGAAUGCAGGCUCAGAGAGGCUAAGAAGAGUCCAGAUAGGGCUUGCUGGGUGUCCCCACUCUGCCUAUUAGCAUUAGAUCAUAUACUUUUGGUCCAAUCAUAUUUCUAUACAGCUGUUCAUACUUUGUUGAACCUAAGCAUAAAAACAAAUUUCCUCUAUAUCUUUGCAUCUUCAUUCUGAAGGCUACUGUGUAUAUACAUUAAGUAAAUUUGUAUGUCUUAUCUCCAAUUAACCUGCAUUUUGCAAGAUGAUUUUUCAGUGAACCUUCAGAAGACAAUAUACAUAUUUUAUAUUCUUAUUCUAUAUCAUUCUGUUAGUUUUGAUUCCUCAAGUAUUGAUAUUUCUGUUUAUUCGAUGGUUCUCAUAAUGCUUUGGCCAGAGGGAUUUCUUGUGAGAUCAUCUUUUAUUCUCAUGGGACUACUAGCUGCUUUGUUUACAAUGUGUGCUGGAUGAUGGAGUAAAAGCAUGCCUUUAGUUUAUUUUCCUUCAGGAAAAUUUGGGGCUGUUCCAGGGAACAGAGUUCCCUGUGUUACAUUCUAGGGUCUGGACUCUCCUUACUGCCUUCUCCCCACCAUAGAACUUUCUAGGAUUUCCUUUCCAGGCGCUGCUCUGUCCCCAUGGUUAUCAACCUCUCUGUCAUUACAUGUCCCACUUGGUGGAGGUGGGGCUCAGGGGCUCUGUCAGGCUGGCCAAGUCUGCUGUACCAUUUGCUGAGGACUCCACCCAUGCUGUGGUCUAGUUCCAAAUUAACAUCACCCACCCACCUUGGGCGAGACAGGGCUGACCCAUGUUUUAUUCUUACUCUGUUGAUGUUAAAGCACUGACAGAGAUCCAUUCAGGGAAGCAGGAGAAUAAAAGCAAAACUAAACAACCAAUGCAAAACAAGUCCACGCCUCCCUGGCUGUGGGUGAUGAUUCUCUCUGGCUCCAGGCUGCUAUCCAGUUCCUCUUCUACCUUCUGCUGCAGCCAUGGGCACUCAAUGAUCUUCUCUCCUGCUAAGGGCUCCCUACAAUCUUUAUGUCAGGUUUAUAAGAUUCUGAUGUCAUUGACCUCCAUGUAUCAUGAACGGCCUCUUAAGAAUAGAGUAAAGACACCCAUAUCUUAAGUAUCUCUUCUACAACCUCUAGUGCACUAUUUAAAAUUCUUAAAAGAAUCCAGGAUACAAGAUGCAGGUGGUGAUGGUCAGAAUGAAGGGCCUGGAAUAGAGAUUCCUAAAAAGAGGUCACAUGAGGAACAUUUGGAGGGAUUGGUGAGCUGGCAGCCAUAUCAACCCAAGGCCCACUCUUCCUGCCAUGGUUGGUGGGACUCAGUGUUUAGAGAACAGCUGGUACAGGCUUGAAUUCUUAGAUCACAUGCUGGUCACAUUGCAUGGCUUUGCUGAAGGUGAAAACUUGCUUUCAAUAUUAAAACUAGACAGCGUAAUCAUUGACAGACAGCAGUGAGAUAUCUGGUGGAGUUAAGAUACCUUGGGAAUAGAUGGCUGCGUUUGGAAUUUAUUUGAUGUGCAUAUGCAGUCUGUCAUCUUUCCAGCCAAUCCCAUAUUGCUGUCUUGCCUCUUCAUUAUCUCCCCAACCUGAGAGAUUAAAGAGAAGCAUUUUGUUUGUCAGCUCAGAAGUAAGCACUGUCCAUUACCUGAUAAGACUGAAGCAGGGUUUAACAAGCCAAUUUGAACCAAAUAGAAAAUGUCCUAUCAUGCUAUCAGCUGGUCUCUUUGUUUGCGCAUACUGUCCCUGUGUUCUUGAUAAUCUGGUAAAACCCAGGGAAACUUAGUAUAUAUGGAUUAGUCAGAAAUGAAUGCUCACUUUGGAAGCCUGCUAGAAGAGGUCAAUGCAUUUCUCUACAGGAAGUGCCUAGAUUUAUAACCUACAGGAUUGAGGACAGUGAAAAUAAGAAAGGCAUUUCAUGUAAAUUAGAAAAUAUCUCCAGAAUCUUCUGAUUCUAUCUCAAGUGAGAAGCCAAGUCCAAAAAGGCUGGAGACCAAUUUCUAAUUAUCAUCUUUGUAUUUGUAUAAGCUUUGACAUUUUGGGGAGGAUAAAAGUAUGUAUGUGCCUAUGAAUAUCCAGAUGUUAACUCCUCUGAAUGAACAAAGACAGGGCUUCUCCCAUCAGCUGGGAAAUUCAGUAGGUGAAGUAGAACUUAGUAGAGCCUGUGUUUAGAGCCUUAGGGGAUGUUUAAGAACUCUACUACUGGCUGGGUGCGGUGGCUCAUGCCUGUAAUCCCAGCACUUUGGGAGGCCGAGGCUGGCAGAUCUUGAUGUCAGGAGUUCGAGACCAGCCUGACCAACAUGGUGAAACCCCAUCACUACUAAAAGUACAAAAAUUAGCCGGGCCUGGUGGCGUGUGCCUGUAAUCCCAGCUACUCAGGAGGCUGAGGCAGGAGAAUCCAUCUACUCAGGAGGCUGAGACAGGAGAAUCCCUUGAACCCGGGAGGUGGAGGUUGCAGUGAGCUGAGAUCGUGCCACUGCACUCCAGCCUGGGUGACAGGGCAAGACUCUAUCUCAAAAAAAAAAAAAAAAAGGGAAGUACUCUACUACUUCAUAAUGUGCAAGAUCUGCACUUGCCUUCUGUCCAUGAAGAAAGGGACAGAGAACUAAUGGUCACCGAGACAUGCACGUGUGAUCAGCACUGUGGUGAGUGCUUUGCACACAUUUUCACAACUAACUACCUAAGAAUUUUGUGAGGUGUUUUAUACCUUCCAUAACCUGUAGAUGAAGAACUGAGACUCCCAGAUGCAUUUGACUGCCCACAGUACUAAGAAGCAUUGUGUGCAUGUUGCUAAAGACAUACAAGACAUUAUUUUCUCUCUUUACCUACAAAAUCUCCACUGAGCUUUCUUGGUGACAAGUCUGAGGUACAGCACGUAGGUAAACACUGACUUAAUGUGUCUCAACUGUUAAGGAAGACAUAAAGGUAAAUGGCAGUGAUUAGCCAUUGUCACCAUGCUGUUUGCCCUCGUGCUGAAAUUGUGUGUAGCAGACAGGCUCUGAGUGGCUCUAUUUCUCAUACAUACUUUUGUCUUUAAUGUGGGUGCUCAAAUGUGGCAGAACAGCUGUAGAGUGACGUGAUCAGCCAAAUGGUCCACUGCGGAUAGAAGCGAAAGACUGUAAGACAGGUCAGGAACACAGAACUAUUGGUCGUCCCUUCCAAGUGCGGCAUUGGUCUUGGCUUCUGAUCCAGGUUGAACCUAGAUUUAAAGAAAAAUUUAACCAUAUUGGUUUGUUAAUUAGGAAUCUCAGAUACAGCCAUUGUUGUCCACUGAGGUCCUCAGCAACAGAAAACAUUGAAGAAAGAGGCGGAGAGUGAAGAGAAAGAGAGAAAGGAGGAGAAGGAGAAAGAGGCAGAGAGAAAAGGAAAGGAAGGAAGCAAAGAAGAAAAGAGGAAGCGAGGAAGGAAGGAAGAAAGGAAGGAGAAAGAAAAGAAAGAAGAAAGAGAAAGGAGAGAAGGAAGGGAGGGAGGGAGGAAGAAAAAGAGAGAGAAAGAAUGAAUAAAGGGAGGGAAAGAGAGAGAGACGAAAAGAGGGGCAAGUCACUCUUCAUCUCUGUGUGUAUAUAGAUACAUCUUUGCCCUCGUAGAAUUUACUGCCUCAGGAAAUUUUCAAUAAAAUGUUAAGAUUCAAAUGGUAGAUAAAUGAGGCAAAUAUGAAAGGUCCCUUUAUACACGGGAGAAAAUUCAAUAAAUUUAAAAACAAAAAAUUUUCUUGGCCAAUAAUCUAAUAAAUAAUAGAUUUAAAACCAUCUUGUGAUACUAGGCAUAGAUAGAAAAAUUUGCAUGCACACGUGUAUGUGCACGUGAACACACAGAGACCCCCCCACUCUGAUAUUGGUGAGACUGGGCUGAAUUUAGCAUGCACCAGCUCCUGAGAGCACUUUCCAGUCCAAUAGCAUAACAAGAAACCAGAGCCUUCUUUGAUUGUUGUUGCUCUUUUCCUGUGACCAGGUGAUCCCAUCAUUUGGAAUUUUACCUAACGAGAAAUUUAACAGAAGCAAAAGUCUAUUCAAGCACAUUUCUUGUAUCUAAAAUAAUACAAAUUCCCCAUCAAUAAUUGGUUAAUUACUGUAUGUAAAAAAUGCUAGAUUUUUCAACAACCAAGAAAAUGUUGGUACAUUUAAAGACUACAUGGAACUGCUGGGCAUAGUGGCUCAUGCCUGUAAUUCCAGUCCUUUGGGAGGCUGGGGCAGGUGGAUCACUUGAGGCCAGGAGUUCAAGACCAGCCUGGCCAUCAUGGCAAAACCCCAUCUCUAUUAAAAAUACAAACAACAAACAAACAAACAAACAAAACCGCAUGUGGUGGCUGGCGCCUGUAGUCCCAGCUACUCAGGAGGCUGAGGCACAAAAAUCUCUUGAACCCGGCAGGUGUAGGUUACAGUGAGCCGAGACUGCAUCACUGCACUCCAGCGUGGGCAACAGAGCAAGACUCUGCUUCAAAAAAAAAAAGAAAAAGAAAAAGAAAGACUUUUAAAAUGCCCAAUCAUAUAUGUUUUAUUGAUACCUAAUGCACUUAUGAAAUUGCCUAGCUACUGCAAAAUACAUAAGCUUUUAAACAUACCUGCUGUAGAAAAGAGUUCUUAUGAUAUAGAACAUGCCUUGAGGUUAAUUUUGAAAUUUGAAAGAGCAUAAUUUGCAUAUUAUAGCCCGAAGAAAAUAACAGAAUUCUCUACCUCACACUCUUUCCUUCCUCCUGCUCCUACUCAUACACCCUUCUUUCACCACCGCAUCUCCCCUCCCAAUAAAAUCUAAGCCAUGUGACUUUUUUCAACAUCUGCUUCCUUUCUUUUCUUUCACAGAAAGCACGCAUGAAUAAUCAGACCGCACUGCUGCUGUUAAUUGUAAAAAUCAUUAGUAAACUUCCAGGUGCUGUUUACUAUAUAAGCAUUGUAAUUUUCUAUCCUAAAAUCAGCAACUCCCCCACAUCAUUGUCUGCCCCAGGGCAUGAGCACUGUGCAGCUUUGAGGUUGUCAAAGGCAGUUGCAGCCCCAUUUACUGGGACUGAAAGAGAUCGAUCCACACCUGCAGCGUUUGAGGCAAUAAUUCCUGAUAUUAACCAGACCUCAUGAGGAGAGGGCCCUUUUGCCAGCCUCCUCAUGAUUCAACACUCUCCAAUCCAUGUGGAAUCAUUGAAUAUGCUGUGAUUGGCUGAUACCCACCACGUCCAUUCUUCCCCUUUCUGCCAUCACUCCACCUAUUGUCCAAAGAUUCUGGAAAGAAACCUGUAGAGAAGAGAAAGCCAGUUUAGAUGCCAUUUGUCUCUAACUUGUAAGCCCGGCAUGCCUGAAUUUUUGCAAUUGCAAAUAAAGUGCAGAGGAAGAACAAACUCAAGAAACCUCCAGGGCCCAAACUGCAAGAUGCAGGAAGAAUCCUGGAGAUUCUUCCUGGAGAUUAACUGAGAGAAGAGAUCAUAGCACAGAGAGGAAGUAACUUGCCCAAUGCCAUACAAACACUGCCUAACGCUUUGGUUACACAAAACAGAUUACAACUUCCAUCUGUUUCCUUGAAGGCACCUGUGGUUUUCCUCAAGAAAUUCAAGAUAAAAGAAAACAAAGCUUGAGUUUACAUUUUCCCAGGUACUACAAUGGCAUCCCUGGGUACACCUGCUGUUCUUUCUCUGGGGCUCCCAAUUCCUGCUCUGCUCCUCCAGGCAGGAUUCUACACAGCUUUCCAGUAACACUGCAGGAGUGUCCCUCAGGUGGUCUGGGUACACCUUUGCCUAUAACCUGCUGCACUGUAUAUUCUUACAGCCAUAGCCACUAUUUUCCUGCACUGUGUCAUCUGUUUGCCUGCUCCUAUUUCAGUGGUAUUCGAAGUGCCUCUGAUAAAAGUGCUUUUCCUUCUUUUUCUUUUUAUAUUUUUGGCCUAGUUCAAUACCUCGGUGAAUGAAUAAAAUUCAUUAAGAGAGCAUUUAUAAUAUCUAAUGUUUGAAUGAAUGUUGGAGAUACAAAGUUCUUAGAGACCAUCUAACCCAACUUCAAAAUUAAUUUCUGCAUCACAGGUGCAAGAAUGUUCAGUGACUCUGCGAACUAUGUUUGCACUUUGGCAUCAAUUCCACCUCCUGGAGUCUUCUCUACCACUUUGUCUCAGAGACAAAGCCUAGGACGGCAUUUCUUAGAAUCCCUUCCCCAUAGGCUUCCAUGAAAAGGAAGGAGGCCAUGUUAGGAGGCCACGUUCUCCAGCAGCUGUGGCGGGAAGAAGCACAGGUGACUCAUAGACCAGUGUGGGGAGGAAGCAGAUGGGAUGGUCUCAGCAGCUCCCAGGCAAGCUCCUCCACAGCUCCUGCUGUAGUGUUGCAAGCUGAAAACUUUAGCAAUAACUUCACUGUCCUUUGUUCCCUGGCUUUUCCAAAAUUUUGCUAGGUUUUAUUUCCUUGCAUUAAAAUCUUCCCAUGACGAAAGAGUCAUCUUUUUAAUGCAUGGUGCUGGGUCAGUUAGAUACACAGAGUUGAGGUGGAGGAUAAAUCCUGACCCCUCCCUCAUAAAAACAAAAUCCGGACAGUUCAGAUCUACAUGUGAAAAGUAAAACAAUAAUGUUUUAAAGAAAACAUACAAAAGCAUCUUCAUAACCUUGGGGUAGGCAGACCUUAUACAAGACACAAAAAAUUGCUAGUCAUAACACACAAAAUGAUAAAUAGAACUCCAAUAAAUUUAGAAAUUUAGUAUUCUCUGCAUAUCAAAAGACACCAUUAGGAAAAGUCAAGCCACAGAAUAAGAAAGGAUAUUUGCACAACACAUAUCUGAGAAGACUACCCAGAAUAUAUAAAAAUUUACACAAAUCAAUAAAAAAGACAGACGUCUCGAAGUAGGUACCUCAAAAAGAAUAUCUAAGUGGAUGAAAGCAUGUUAAAAACUUCUCAAAUUAAGUAACUAUUAGAUAAAUGCAAAUUAAAACCACGAUAUACACAAGAGAAAGUCUAUAAUUUAAAUGACAGACAGACAAAGUAUUGUGUUUGGAGCAACUGGAACUCACCUACUUUUAAGAGUAAGUUGGUACAACUAUGCUUGUAUGUCAUUGGAAAACACUGGAAAACUGAAAUUAUCUACUCAAACUGAACAUCCAUCCCUCCUACAUCCUAGCAAUUCUACCUCUACAUGUAUAUUAAUAGAAAUGUACACACAUGUUUACAAAAGACAUACGACUAUUUAUAGCAGCAAUAUUUGAGUAGUUCAUAUCACAACCCAUCGAUCAAUCCAUAGAAUAGAUAGGCUGUGAUGUAUUCAUACAUGUGCCACUAUAAAGCAACGAAAAUGAAAUAACUAUACAUUUUCCCAACAAAUCAUAAUUUUGAUGACUCACAAUCAAAAUAGCCUGGAUACAAAAGAAUACAUGCUGGAUAAUCCCAUUUACAUAAAGUUUUAAAAAUCAGAAAAAAAAAAAAUCCAUGGCUUUAGAACUCAAAAUAGUGGUUACUUUUUGGGAGGUAAUGAUUAGAAGGAGGGGGACUUCUUGUUAAUGUCGAACUCCUUAGUCUGGAUUCUUGUUACAUGGCAUGUUCAGUUUGUAAAAUUUCAUUGAAAUUCACUGUUAAUAUUUGUGCAC
rnacentral:lncRNA from 1 species